GAUUACCUGAGGUGUUUGCCAGUGGGUUAUGUCCCUGAGCCGAUACUUUUAUUUUAUGAAUCGGUUUCUAAUUGUUGGUGUGCAUGCUUAGCUUGACUAAGAAGCCUAAAAAUAGUUAUAACUGA
rnacentral:other from 1 species